UACGUAGGGCGCAAGCGUUGUCCGGAAUUAUUGGGCGUAAAGAGCUCGUAGGCGGCGUGUCGCGUCGGAUGUGAAAGCCCGGGGCUUAACCCCGGGUCUGCAUCCGAUACGGGCAGACUAGAGUGUGGUAGGGGAGAUCGGAAUUCCUGGUGUAGCGGUGAAAUGCGCAGAUAUCAGGAGGAACACCGGUGGCGAAGGCGGAUCUCUGGGCCAUUACUGACGCUGAGGAGCGAAAGCGUGGGGAGCGAACAGG
rnacentral:rRNA from 1 species